rnacentral:tRNA from 1 species
GCAUCGGUGGUUUAGUGGUAAAAUUAGCCGUUGCCAACUGCAACUUCGGCUAGCCCCGGGUUCGAUUCCCGGCCGAUGCA